rnacentral:lncRNA from 1 species
ACACUUGGUCAACAUCUCCUUUGUCUCAAGAACGAUCAAGGUAGAACCAACCCCGAGGUGGUGGUUGAUCGAGCAAACUUUUGCGAGGCUUAAACUUUAUUCCUCCCCCAUGCCACUUGGUCCCUCUUGGUGGUCCCGAGCGGGGUCCUAGGGUCCCACGUUUAACCUUGACUUAAGUGUUAGGAACGCAUGGGCAUAGAUUCCAAUGGAUGGAGAUAAUGUUUAAGUAAAGUUAAUGAAGAUGGUUCUCGGGUAGGUAAGAUUGUUAGCGCGCAUGGAGUUGGUACGCGCAUUGAUUUAAUUAUUGCACAUGGGGGUGGUCAUCUGUGUGGAACCUUGUGCACGCGGAGUUGGUCUCGCGUAGGGUUGAUUUCUACCUUGCGGAGGUGGUGUCUUCGGAGUUGAUCGUCCCUAAGCAAAGUUGAACAUCCGCUCUAAACUUGGGGGCGCAGAGUAGGUGCACGCCAAGUUGUCGAGUUAGUACCCCGGAACUUGGGUGCACAGAGUUUGGGAUGAGCCAAGUUGGACGUCCAUGGGUUGGACGCGCGGAGCAUGGGCAUGCCUUAUUGUCGCGUGCGGCGUUGAAUGCCCGUGCGGAAUUUGGAUGCACUGCUAUGAGGAUACGUGGCGAAACGGGGAUGGCGACACGUGGCGGGGCGUGGUCAUCCAUGCUGCACGCAUAAGUUUGCAUCCACAAAACUGGAGUUAGUGUUGUUUGUCCCAUUCUUCUGUUUGUUUCCCUUGUCUUUAUUCUUAUUAAGUUUUUUUAUUCUUUUUUGCCUUUUGGCAGGCAGUUUCAUAGACGUAGGUUCAAUGGAACCAUCCAUCCAAAUAAAGGUUGAUGAAUUUAUUUAAGAAGAUGUUAAUGGAAAAACUCUUCUAGUUUCCUCUGUUCCCAAAUCGAUGACAUCCAACUAUCUGUGGUGUUGCAUGGCUUUGCUGAGAGGAAAACUGUCAGUUAAUUUCUUCCCAGCUUAGCACUUUUUGAAUUUUGGAUUUAAUUAAGCUCUCCUACAUUUCCAUAUUCUAAUGCAAAUGUAUGCAUGUCUGUUUAGAUGGAUAUUUUUAUCAAAUCCGCAGUCGUUAUUGUUUCCUUCUAAUAUGUCUCAUAAAGUCUUAUGUUAAAUUCGUUAACAUACUUUUUUCUUCUAUUUCAAGGUCAUUCGUAAUUGUUAUUUGUUAAUUCUUAUGGUUAGUGGUGUUUCUAAUUGAUGCCUUCCAACUGGUUGUAUAAAUUCCUAUGACAAUUUUGCACAACAUUUGUGUGGAUAUCUUAGUUGUUAUUUGGCAUCUCUUAUUUUUUUGUUGUAUUUCUAAAGAAUUCAUACCAAGUGUUUGCUUAAAUUCAUAUUAGAAUUUUGCACAAUAUAUGUGAGAUAGGUAACAAUUCUUUUGUGCCACUUUUGAUUUUAGAGGGGAUCGAUGAUGUAAAACAUUUACAUUUUCGGCCAUCAAAUAGCAAGGUAUAUAUUGAGGCGGUCCUCAAUCUCCAACAGUCAGCAAAACCCAAAAAUGGAGGGAGGGAGGAAAGUGGCGGUUAGGUAAUGUCUCGAUAUAUUCAGUGAGGUGAAAUGAUAAGCGGCUGGUCCUUAACUCAAAUGAAAUUAGCUAACCAAACUUGAUUUCACUAUCUAUUUCUAAAAAAAAAAAUUGAAAACAAAAAGAUAGGCUAGCCAUUUUUACACUUCGCUUUUCUUUGAUUACACUCCUCUUUUUGUCUUUAUUAGAGUGAAUUUACAAAUACUCUUUUAUGUAGUGAAAACAUUUUGUAAAAGUGGGUGUUUGGGUAAAGACAAAAAACGAGUGCAAGAAAAGGAAAGUAUGAGAAAUCACUAGCAAAUAGAAAAUUAAAAAUUAAAUAGUUACCAAGCAUACCUAAUUAAUGUUCAUGUUUGCAAAAGAAACACAACACAUAGUUUUGUAAUGUCAAAGAACCCCCAAGUUAGUAAUUAUUGGCAUAGACACCCUUUUAGGGCAAUGUUGGAAUAGUUCUUUGGGAAAAUUACAAUAACCUCCCCUGAGGUUUGCCUUAAUUAAUUCCGCCUUUAAUAUAGAUUCCCCUUCAUUGUUUUGAAAAAAUUACAAUCACCACCCAUAAAUUUAGAGUUUUUAUUACAUACUUCCCCCUCUAUGAUGACAUCAGCAGUCAAACUCAAUUCAUACCCAUUUUAACUCUCGUGUUACCCCCUCUCUCAUCCACCAUAGCCCCCCCUUCUCUCUAUCUUUCUUCAUCUACACACACAAACCCAAAAUCAACAAUCCCAAAACCAUCUCCAAAUCAACAACCCAAAUCAAAUCCAAAAUGAAUCCCAAAUCAACAACCCAAAUCAAACCUGCAAUGAUUACAGUCCCCAAGUCAAUCUUCAACUCAAAACCUAUAAUUAACAAUUGACCAAAAUUCAAAUUUAUUGAUCAAAAAUCCUAAUUGAUUGAAACCCACAAAAUUCUCUCUCUAUAUACAUGUAUGUGUUUGUGUGUAUAGAAAAAGAUUGUGAGUGAG